rnacentral:tRNA from 1 species
GGAGAGGUGGCAGAGCGGUCGAAUGCAGCAUCCUGCUAAGAUGCUGACCGGGAAACUGGUCCGAGGGUUCGAAUCCCUCCCUCUCCGCAA